rnacentral:lncRNA from 1 species
AGAACUGAUCAUGCACAGUCAAGGCUGGGGAAAUUUCUCCGUGUCAGCCUGGUGAGGGACAGCCCUGCAGCCUGAGGAGACCAGCUUCCAGGAGGAAAAAUGUAGUGCU